rnacentral:sRNA from 12 species
CGUCUAACUGUUCGGUCACCAUACGGCAGGGUUAGAGGAAAUGGACUACUGUGGGAAAGCUCUGAGAGAGUCCUAGGGGUGGCGAAGCUAGUGCCCCAUGAGCGCAAGACUGGCGGGU